GUCGUGAUGCCUGCAUUCAGAAAGGAAGCUGAUGCUUAGCUGAACUGGAUUAAAGCUUAACGUGGCCUGCGCCCACUGUGCUGUCCAAGGUCCCAGCUGCCACUGCCUCCUGUCCAGCACUCUGUCAGCUGUGUCACCACAGGGGUAUGGAGAAGUGGAGUUGCUUUUCUACCUUCGACCUCGGCGACCUGGGAGUCUCACCCUUUUAGGUGGCAGGAGAGAAGGAAAUAACUAAAUAUGCGACCAUCUUCCAUCCCACCCUGGACACAAAGGUGGCUCUAGACACUCGUGUCCUCGAAGAGAGUGGCUCAGGCUCUCGAGUCCACCUCUGCCCACUGGUCCCCUGGGGAUGGUGGCCGAGUGUGUGGUGCAGGGGGUGCUUGUUGCCUGCACCCACACUGAAGUGGACUGAGGUGGACUCUCUGAGUGGCCUGAGUCCCGCCCUGGCCCCAGCUGCCCCGUAGCUGCUGUCCUCUCUGGACAGCUGGACACCUGUGUGUUUUAUUGGUCUCUUCUCCUAACAUCACAAGCUGACAAGCAUGUCACCCGGGUGUCCUCAGCUCGGCGGCUCCUCUUCAGUGAUGUGAACUGGCUCUGGAUCUCUGACCCAGGCACCCCACUUGGACCUGGUGGGAGGUAAGCCUGUGCCCUGUGGGUCCCAAGGCAGUGCCUGGCCUCUGGCUGGCACCAAGGAGCCUCUUGACUGGACAGCACCCUGCCCGACUGCCUGUCUGCCUGCUCACACUGCCGUGUCUUACGCCUGAGUCACCUCUGAUUCCAUGUGCCUGGGAGGAUGCCUGCCACCGUGCCUAGGAGAUGGUCCUGACACUGAGCUACAGGGUGAAUCCCUGACACGGGACUGCAUCAUGUCGAACUGGUAGCUGGAUGCCGAGGACUUGUUUCCAAGGUCAUUGCUGGUCACCUGCGGUAGUUUGGACACAGUUUUCCCCAAGACCAUGUGUUUCCAAUCUGUGGGGCUCUGGGAAGGUGGUGGAGCCUCUGGGAGCUGGGGCCUCACGGGAGGAAGUGAGGUCAUUGUGGGCGUGGCCUUGAAGGGGGUGUUGGGACCGCAGAUCCUCCCUGCUUCUUUCUUUGCAUCUGGGCUGCUAUGAGGUGAACAGUCCUCCUCUGGCCCCUUUUCCCACCGUGAUGUAUGGUGCCACCACAGACCCACAGGAAUUGGACCAAGCAACCAUGGACUGAAGCCUCUGAGACUUGUCGGAAUGGCAUCCGCUGCUGGAGAGAGGGAGGCACACACCACCCUGCCCUGCGCUGACGAAGAGCUACCUGGGCCUCGAGGCCAUCAGUCUGUUGCUGAGCUGGAAAACCUGGCUGGAGAGGCUUGGGACAUCUGCCAGAUGCCCGCAGAGCUGGGAGGAGUUGGCAUUGGGCAGCAUCCAGCCCCAGAAAGGGAUGGACUGAGCCAGGCAGAUUCAGAACGGAGGCUCCGCCAGGCGCCACACCUGGAGUACAGAUGGCCGUGCUGAGCAAUGGUUCCCGGUUUCUCUCUCCCCAUCGCCACCACCAAGCCACCUACUGGAAAUUAAUCCAGUGAAUAAUGAUGCAUUGAGAUCACUAAAA